GACGAACGCUGGCGGCGUGCUUAACACAUGCAAGUCGAACGGAAAGGCCUUUUCGGAGGUACUCGAGUGGCGAACGGGUGAGUAACACGUGGGUGAUCUGCCCUGCACUCUGGGAUAAGCCUGGGAAACUGGGUCUAAUACCGGAUAGGACCGCACUUUAGUGUGUGUGGUGGAAAGUUUUUUCGGUGUAGGAUGAGCCCGCGGCCUAUCAGCUUGUUGGUGGGGUAAUGGCCUACCAAGGCGGCGACGGGUAGCCAGACUGAGAGGUUGGUCGGCCACAUUGGGACUGAGAUACGGCCCAGACUCCUACGGGAGGCAGCAGUGGGGAAUAUUGCACAAUGGGCGCAAGCCUGAUGCAGCGACGCCGCGGGGGGGAUGACGGCCUUCGGGUUGUAAACUCCUUUCGCCAGGGACGAAGCGUUUUGUGACGGUACCUGGAGAAGAAGCACCGGCUAACUACGUG
rnacentral:rRNA from 1 species